rnacentral:misc_RNA from 1 species
CGCACAUUGCGCCCGCCAGUAUUCUGGCGGGCAUGCCUGUUCGAGCGUCAUUUCAACCCUCAAGCUCAGCUUGGUGUUGGGACUCGCGGUAACCCGCGUUCCCCAAAUCGAUUGGCGGUCACGUCGAGCUUCCAUAGCGUAGUAAUCAUACACCUCGUUACUGGUAAUCGUCGCGGCCACGCCGUAAAACCCCAACUUCUGAAUGUUGACCUCGGAUCAGGUAGGAAUACCCGCUGAACUUAA